AGUUGACCGCAGAAUUUAUUUCGUCAGUGAUCAGUAGCUUUUUGGCCGGGGGAGAAAACCUUGGAUUUAGUGAAUUUGUCAGACUGGCUUUCAGAAAUGGAACAUGGAGGGAUUUGGGAGGAGGGCUUGUGCCUGAUUGCUAUCUCAUUUCCAUCUUUGGACACAGCUCUAGCAUAAAGCUAAGCAACAUCUGUAAAGAUUUGGCUGGCAAACCUCUCUCUGGGACUCAUCGUUGCAUCCUGCAGCAGGUGCAGUCAGCUUUGCAGUCCAUCUUAAAAGAGGGCCUGUCAUCUCAGCAUUGACAGGAUCAGAUGAAAAAUACAAUCGAUGUGUUGACAUUUUUUUGAGAAUCACUCAGGAGCACAGUGGAGCUGAGCUGAUCCUGCCAACUUCCUCUACGUUUUCUGGGACCAUGAAAGAACUGGCAACCCUACCUUUUAACACUGACUUAUUUUUAGCUCAUUUCUGUAAACUAUUCAUCAAAUCCCAAGAUCAGAGAAUCAUUUGUCAUAAUUUGUAAGACACUUUUAAGAAGGAGCUAAAAUGAUUAGAAUUUCAGGCACUGGCUAUUGUACUUGCAUCAGUUUCACAAACAUUUUUAAUAUUUGAAUACUAGCAGGGGAGCAUAAAGACUCAAGAUUGAAAAAUCAGUUAUCUAACACAUCCCCCUUUCAAACAAAUUGUUCACUUAAGGAAACUAAUGUAUUUUUCUGUACAAAUAAUGGCCUGAAAUUGUAAAUAAAUAUUGAAGUUAUUUUAUAUUUUAUGUAUUUGGUGUUAAUUUUAUUUAAAUACUUGCCACAGAUAAGUGCCAUUUAACAUAUCUUAACAUUUGUGUGAUUUAGGUCACCUUGUUUUGUAAGGUGCAUGCAAUUAAAUUUUUCACACCUUUUAUUUGACAUUUUUGUUUUCACUAAGAUUAACUCUGAUUUUGCACAACUGCAUUUAUAACCCAUUGUUGUUUGACUAAUGAGAACCUUUCAUGUGCUUUUAGUAGGAGUUAGAUUAUUAUGCUUAUGGCACUGCAUUAUUGUUCUCUUGAACUAAGUACGGACUGCAACAUCAAUAAAGCCAUGGCUGCUUUAACAUUGGUGGUUUGGAAUUUUA